AGUGAACGCUGGCGGUAGGCCUAACACAUGCAAGUCGAAUGGCAGCACAGUAAGAGCUUGCUCUUACGGGUGGCGAGUGGCGGACGGGUGAGGAAUACAUCGGAAUCUACUUUUUCGUGGGGGAUAACGUAGGGAAACUUACGCUAAUACCGCAUACGACCUACGGGUGAAAGCAGGGGAUCUUCGGACCUUGCGCGAUUGAAUGAGCCGAUGUCGGAUUAGCCAGUUGGCGGGGUAAAGGCCCACCAAGGCGACGAUCCGUAGCUGGUCUGAGAGGAUGAUCAGCCACACUGGAACUGAGACACGGUCCAGACUCCUACGGGAGGCAGCAGUGGGGAAUAUUGGACAAUGGGCGCAAGCCUGAUCCAGCCAUACCGCGUGGGUGAAGAAGGCCUUCGGGUUGUAAAGCCCUUUUGUUGGGAAAGAAAAGCAGCAGGUUAAUACCCCGCUGUUCUGACGGUACCCAAAGAAUAAGCACCGGCUAACUUCGU
rnacentral:rRNA from 1 species